AUUUGAUAUCCAAAGGAAGUCACAUGUCAAUUUCAUGACAGGAAGUUGACACAGUUGUUUAUCUUCCGUCAGCGGCGCCGGUGGAGUUGUAGCUAACGGAGGAAUAUAUCCGCCCAGUGCGUUGUUGGAAAGGAGUGACAGUCAAAGGCAAAAGAAGACAGAGAGGGCACCUUUAUCCUGGCUGCACGUGGGAGUGGUCACGCAGCUGGCCCAAGAGGUGCAAUCAGUGUGAGCCACAGGAAGUCAGAGGGAGGAGAGCCACAUGAGGCAGCAGCAGCUGCGUUUCACAGAGGAGAUCUCGAUCUUCGAGAGAGCAGGUCAG